rnacentral:snRNA from 1 species
AAGAAAUAGUUAAUGAUAC